AUAGUAAUUCUUUUAGGCUUCCUGGACCAGAUGGUCUCUGUCACAAUAGCAGAACUCUGCAGUCGGAGCAGGAAAGCAACCAUAGACCAUACGUGAGCCAAUGGGCAUGGCUGUGUGCCAAUAAAACUUUAUUUACAAAAACAGACUGUGGGCCGGAUUUGGAUGAUGAGAGACCAAACUACAGAGGCCUAUAGUUUGUUGAUCUUAGAUUUAGACUGUGACUUAUAUAGUCCUGUGCUGCAUAAUGAUGUUUUGGUCAACAAUGGACUGCAUAUAGGACAGUUGUCUCAUAAGAUUAAACAUUGCACUUUUUUUUUCUUUUUGAGAGGGAGUUUCACUCUUGUUGCCCAGGCUGGAGUGCAAUGUAUAAUCUCAGCUCACUGCAACCUCUGCCUCCUGGGUUCAAGUGAUUC
rnacentral:lncRNA from 10 species